CGGCGUCAUUUCGGAAGAGGUGCUGUGAAAGGUAAUACAAUAUAUCGAGUGUCUUUAGAACAGAUAAGAGUAAUGAAAUCCGAACCUUCAAGUCCUAAACGAGACCGAGAUAGGUCUCCAUUUGGACUAGACAUGGACAGGAAUGAAGAAAAUGACAAAGAUCGUAACAAGGAAAGAGAUCGUGACAGAGCUCGUCGUGGAGACAGGCCGACCAGAUUUGGCCCACGUAGUAGCAGUACAACACGGGACAGAGAACGUGAACGUGGAAGGAAAUCAACUUCUGAUAGACGAAUCUAUGUUUCCAACAUAGCUUAUGAGUACAAAUGGCAAGAAUUAAAAGAUUUAUUCAGACAAGAAGUUGGAGAAGUUUCUUACGUUGAACUCUUCAUGGAUGAAAAUGACAAACCGCGGGGCUGUGGUAUCGUAGAAUUUGAAUCGCCGGAGUCUGUGAAAAAAGCUGUGGAAAAAAUGCACCGGUUUGAUCUUAAAGGCAGAAAGCUGGUUGUUAAAGAGGACUUUGGUGUUGACAGAGACAAAUAUGGUCGUCCAAUUAAAGGUGGCGGUGGCGGUGGUGGUGGCGGUGCUGCUGGUGGAGUAGGUGGUGGUGGCACUGCAGGCAUGGGCCAGGGAGCAGGUAAUUUAGCUCGAGGGAGAGAUGAUGUCCGUGCCAAGUGGGAUCAUCCUGCUCCACCACUACCAUUGCAGACAGCAUUUCCAGCGUUGGGGUCUCAGCAGGCUGCAAAUGCUGCUGCAGCUGCCGCUGCAAGUAGCAAGUGGGGAAAUACAUAUGGACUUAGUCCGGAAUUUCUUGAGUCUCUCUGGAUAACUGGCCCUUUGAACACAAGAGUUUUUGUUGCCAAUCUGGACUACAAAGUAGACGAAAAGAAGCUAAAAGAAGUAUUUAAACUGGCCGGAAAAGUGGUCAGUGCAGAAAUUAGUACUGAUAAAGAAGGCAAGAGUAGGGGAUUUGGUGUUGUUGAAUAUGAACAUCCAGUGGAAGCUGUUCAAGCUAUUUCUAUGUUGCAUAAUCAGAUGUUGUACGACAGGAAAAUCACUGUAAGGAUGGAUCGCAUAGAACACAAACAAGAAGGACCAUUGAAACUUCCUGAAGGUUUGAGAGGCCUAGGAAUGGGUCUUGGUGCUGGUGGAGCUCCACUUCAGGAUGUUGCAAGAGCGGCAUCAGCACUGUCUAAUGUUGUUGGUCCAGCAUCUUUGGGUUUGAGUAACAAUGCAGCUUUGCCUGCCAGUUUAACUGGUGUGGGUGGCUUAGGAGCUGCUGCAGCAGGUGGCCUUAUGGGAGCCGGAGGUGGUGAUAUUGGUUUAGGAGGAGGGAUUGGGGCAGGUGGUGCAUUUGGGGGAAGCAAUUUAGGUGCAGGAUUAGGUGCUGGGGGAGCAGGACUAGGUGUUGGUUUGGGUGGAGGAGGAGGAUCAUUUGGUGGAAAUAUUGGCACUGGAGGUGGCAGUUCAUUUAUGGGUGGCGGUGCUGGAGGCGCCUUCGGUGGUGGAGCAGCAGGCUUAGUGGGUAAUAGUGCGUUCGGAGGCGGUGGACGUGAUUUUGAUUCUCUUAACUCUAGUCUUGGGGGUGGUGGAGGAGGAGGUGGUUAUGGCUCUGGUUUAGGGGAAAGAGAUUUUAGAGGGGCAGCGGAUGGUGGAUUUGCCAAUGGACCAUCAAGAGGAAUUGGAAUGGGAGGUGCAGCAGUUCCAGGUCAUAGAGGUUCAGAUACUAUCCUGAUCAAAAAUCUUCCUCCUUCUGCAACAUGGCAGAUGCUUCGGGAUAAAUAUGGGGAGAUCGGAGAUGUCAAAUUCGCAGAGAUUAGGGGUAAAGAGAUUGGCUUAGUGCGUUUCAGCUCUGAAUUGGAGGCCGAGCGUGCAGUCCAUAUGACGGAUCGCACUCGUUUGGAAGGCCGUACUAUUGAUGUAUCUCUCUUCUAUUAGGGUGGUUUGAAUUGUGGUCAUCAGUUGGAGUUUGAUAGGCUUCAAAGAAGACUGCUCGGCAAAUAAGCUGGACCUUACUUUCUUGGGGUGUAAGUGGGAGUUACUCCCAUGUUUGACGAUACUCUCUGAGAAGCAGUAGCAUGGAAGUUCUCCAAGGAAAUUUUAAAACAGCUGAUCAUUGACAACUGGGGAAAAUAUUUCACAAAGUGCUGCUUAGCCUGUAAGGUUAUCAACCUGUUUCAUCGUGCACCAGUCUGCAUAUAAAUUGUAGAUUUGUUCCAGAACUUUCAUUCCUCAUCGCAAUUUCUGAAAUUGGGCUAGAAGUCAUGCUUAAAUAAUUUGGACAACCCCAAUGACUUCAAUCACAUGGUAGCUCUUGCUGGAAUGUGAAGUUUUGGGGCCAAAGGUGCCAGUCUUCGAAGUACGUGUUCCUUCUAUAAGGCAAUAAAUAAGUAAAAUUUAAACAUUAGUAAUGCAUUGUAUAAUGUGGACAUAAUUUUAUAAUGGAACAAGUGGAAUAUUGAUUAAAUCGUAACAACAUUAAAAGAGUCACUAUGGAAUAA